rnacentral:rRNA from 1 species
CCCUUAGAUGUUCUGGGCCGCACGCGCGCUACACUGAUUCAUGCAACGAGUUUUGUCCUUGGCUGAAAGGCCUGGGUAAUCUUUGAACGUGAAUCGUGCUGGGGAUAGAUGAUUGCAAUUAUUCAUCUUCAACGAGGAAUUCCUAGUAAACGCAAGUCAUCAGCUUGCAUUGAUUACGUCCCUGCCCUUUGUACACACCGCCCGUCGCACCUACCGAUUGAAUGGUCCGGUGAAAUCUUCGGAUCUGAGAGAUGUUGGAUUAAUUUCUGACGCCUUUUGGAAAAGUCACUUAAACCUUAUCAUUUAGAGGAAGGUGAAGUCGUAACA